GAGCUGACUUACUGGAAAAGACGCUGAUGCUGGGAAAGAUUGAGGGCAGGAGGAGAAGGGUCCUAAUUAAACAUGUUGACUGUACAUCUGAUGAGCCAAAAUCACUGAUGCCUCAUCCACAGGUUAUGUCUCCCAUAAUUACCAAGCUGCAUCGGUCAGAGGAGGAGCCCAGCAGCAGCUUCAUCUUUCCAGAUGGAGAGUUUAGAGUCACAUGACUGUAUCCCUGUUAUUAGCACACACUAACGUGGGCUGUGGAUAUCCCCUGCUCACUGAAUCAUGACCAAGUCCUUUUCUGACAUAGUGACUUGUUGGAUGGACUAGAUUUCUGCUUUAAUACCCCACCCAGAUAUGCACUGGAACUUUUCUGGGCUUUGUUUUUUAGCUUUUUUUUUUUUUUUAAUAAACACUCAAAGUUCA